rnacentral:rRNA from 1 species
GACGAACGCUGGCGGCGUGCUUAACACAUGCAAGUCGAACGGAAAGGCCCUGCUUUUGUGGGGUGCUCGAGUGGCGAACGGGUGAGUAACACGUGAGUAACCUGCCUUGACCUUGGGAUAACUUUAGGAAACCGGGGCUAAUACCGGAUAGGAGCUCCUGCUGCAUGGUGGGGGUUGGAAAGUUUCGGCGGUUGGGGAUGGACUCGCGGCUUAUCAGCUUGUUGGUGGGGUAGUGGCUUACCAAGGCUUUGACGGGUAGCCGGCCUGAGAGGGUGACCGGCCACAUUGGGACUGAGAUACGGCCCAGACUCCUACGGGAGGCAGCAGUGGGGAAUAUUGCACAAUGGGCGGAAGCCUGAUGCAGCAACGCCGCGUGUGGGAUGACGGCCUUCGGGUUGUAAACCGCUUUCGCCUGUGACGAAGCGUGAGUGACGGUAAUGGGUAAAGAAGCACCGGCUAACUACGUG